CCCAUGGAAGACGACGAACUCAUCUCCUUCAUCCUGGCCGGCCUCGACCUCGACUACAAUCCUCUGGUAUCUGCCCUUGACGCCCGCACUGAGCCAAUUACUCUCCACGCCCUGUACUCCCAGAUGGCAAACUUCGAUC
rnacentral:snoRNA from 1 species